rnacentral:rRNA from 1 species
UGGGCGUAAAGCGAGCGCAGGCGGUUUAAUAAGUCUGAAGUUAAAGGCAGUGGCUUAACCAUUGUUUGCUUUGGAAACUGUUAAACUUGAGUGCAGAAGGGGAGAGUGGAAUUCCAUGUGUAGCGGUGAAAUGCGUAGAUAUAUGGAAGAACACCAGUGGCGAAAGCGGCUCUCUGGUCUGUAACUGACGCUGAGGUUCGAAAGCGUGGGUAGCAAACAGGAUUAGAUACCCUGGUAGUCCACGCCGUAAACGAUGAGUGCUAAGUGUUGGAGGGUUUCCGCCCUUCAGUGCUGCAGCUAACGCAUUAAGCACUCCGCCUGGGGAGUACGGUCGCAAGACUGAAACUCAAAGGAAUUGACGGGGGCCCGCACAAGCGGUGGAGCAUGUGGUUUAAUUCGAAGCAACGCGAAGAACCUUACCUAGACUUGACAUCUCCUGCAUUACUCUUAAUCGAGGAAGUCCUUUCGGGGACAGGAUGACAGGUGGUGCGUGGUUGUCGUCAGCUCGUGUCGUGAGAUGUUGGGUUAAGUCCCGCAACGAGCGCAACCCUUAUUGUUAGUUGCCAUCAUUAAGUUGGGCACUCUAGCAAGACUGCCCGGGUUAACCGGGAGGAAGGUGGGGAUGACGUCAAAUCAUCAUGCCCCUUAUGUCUAGGGCUACACACGUGCUACAAUGGUCGGUACAAUAAGACGCAAGCCCGCGAGGGGGAGCAAAACUGGAAAACCGAUCUCAGUUCGGAUUGUAGGCUGAAACUCGCCUACAUGAAGCUGGAGUUGCUA